rnacentral:rRNA from 1 species
GCCAGCAGCCAUAUCACCCUGCAAUUCACAACUGGCAACCCACUGAAGCCAAGCUGGUGUGAGCCUGGUCAGUACCUGGAUAGGAGACCUGGGAAAAACUAAGGUUGCUGCUGGAA